GGAUUAGAUACCCUGGUAGUCCGCACCGUAAACGAUGAUUACUCGUUGUUGGCGAUAUGACAGUCAGCGACCAAGCGAAAGCGAUAAGUAAUCCACCUGGGGAGUACGCCGGCAACGGUGAAACUCAAAGGAAUUGACGGGGGCCCGCACAAGCGGAGGAGCAUGUGGUUUAAUUCGAUGAUACGCGAGGAACCUUACCUGGGCUUGAAAGUUAGUGACCGGUUCUGAAAGGAACUUUUCCGCAAGGACACGAAACUAGGUGCUGCAUGGCUGUCGUCAGCUCGUGCCG
rnacentral:rRNA from 1 species